rnacentral:rRNA from 1 species
UACGGGGGGAGCAAGCGUUGUUCGGAUUUACUGGGCGUAAAGAGCGCGUAGGCGGCCAGUGCAAGUCAGUUGUGAAAUCUCCGAGCUUAACUCGGAAAGGUCAACUGAUACUGCUCGGCUAGAGUGCGGAAGGGGCAACUGGAAUUCUUGGUGUAGCGGUGAAAUGCGUAGAUAUCAAGAGGAACACCUGCGGCGAAGGCGGGUUGCUGGGCCGACACUGACGCUGAUGCGCGAAAGCUAGGGGAGCGAACGGG